GAUGAACGCUGGCGGCGUGCUUAAUACAUGCAAGUCGAACGGACAGGCUACUGCUUGCAGGGGUUCUCGAGUGCCGAACGGGUGAGUAAAACGCGGGUGAACCGCCCUGCACUUCGGGAUAAACCUGGGAAACUCGGUCUAAAACCCGAUAGGACGAUGGUUUGGAUGCCAUUGUGGAAAGAAUUUCGGUUUGGGAUGGGCUGGCGGCCUAUCAGCUUGUUAGUGGGGUAAUGGCCGACCAAGGCGUCGACGGGUAGCCGGCCUGGGAGGGUGGACGGCCUCAUGGGGACUGAGGUACGGCGCAGACGCGUACGGGACGCAGUGGUGGGGAGUAUGGCGCAGUGGGGGCGAGUGUGAGACGGCGACCCUGCGUGCGGGAUGACGGCCUUCGAGGGAUAAACACAUGUGGAUGUAGACAAAGAGGAAGUGACGGUACCUGAAGAGGAAGCACCGGCUAACUACGUG
rnacentral:rRNA from 1 species